GGGAGGAAUAAGAAUGUAUUCAUCACAACUUACUGAAUCCUACCGCUAAAGUGUACCUCACGGAGCCUUAACAACCACACGCUUUCAGCUCCCAAGCCUCUGGUCUGGGAUUAAAAACAUUGGCAUUUGAAUUUGAGUCUGAGGUGGAAGUGUCUGCCUAUCAUCCAAAAUUAAAACAUGUAUUUGGAUCCAAUUGCUGCCUAAGAAUAUGGAGAAUGAGGAGAGACUAGAAGCUAGGAAAAAGAAACACACAGGAAUGCCCAUAAAAGGAAAGGGAAGGAAAAAGGCUCCCAAAAAUGAAAAAGAAAGAGUAGUGAUUAACAGCAGGAAGUUGUCUCAAGAUGUUUGCUGAUGAAGAAAAAGAAAGCAGUACCACGAUGAGAGUUGAUCUGCACACCACCACUGUGACUGGAGAAUAUGAAGAAGCAAGCCAUGGCCUACUGCACUUACUCUUAAGUUUUACAGCUUUCUAGAACCAAAAUCCUGUACACCAGCCAGUUACUCCACUUACUACAAUCUGCAUGGCUACUGGGUAUCUUUCUACCACAGAUCCUGAACUGUGACCACUCAGUUCUACAAGUGGUGUCUUCUUGUAUACUCAAUUAAAUCCACCACUUUAUAAUAACCAUGAUCAUUUUCAUAUCCAAUGAGAGAAGCCCCAUCCAGACUGGCCUGGCCUUGGAAUCUAGAUCUAAGUGGAGAGGACUCAGCUGUCAAUAAGGAGUAAAAUUGGAGGCCAGUGUCACAGACACCGAAGCAAGAGCUUUAACACCUAGGAUAGCCACUGAGACUAAACAAAUGGCAUAUCCAGGUAAAGCACUCUUCCAGUACUGCAAUAAAUUAAAAGAACUUCACAUCUCUCUCUCCCCAAGCGUUCUCAACUUCUGUAAUUAAGGGUAUGUACUGCUUCCUCCAGUUUAAGAAAUCAAGUGAUUUAUAAAAUGAAUAGCAUCUUAUUUAUCAAAAGAGUCUUGCCUCAGCAGUAUAAAUACGAGGACAGUUCCAAGAGCUAGCUCCUCAGAGGUGCUUGUUAAGAGGUCUUUAGAAUCUAUGCUACCUGGAAUACCUAAUAGUGUUCUUUAAUGCAACAGGUUAAAUUCAGUGCAAAGGUAUGGCAAAAGAAAAGUAAUAUUGACAGCAACUAUGUCAGGGGCAAACACAACCAUAUUCACACAUAAGCAUUCACAGACUUUUACUUAGUCUUUGAUUUAAAAGACAGAUUCUCUGUGUCUGAUCAAUGUCAGUCUCUUGGGAUGCACUAAAAUGAAAUUAAAAAAAAAAACUGACUAUUUCAAAUCAUUCUAGAAUUAUAGACAGCUACACUAAAAUAUAAAGCCUCCAAAACACUGUGUGUGGGGAGGGAGGAGGAAAGGACAUAGAUGUACUCACCAGCCUGAGUUGCAGAAAUCAUGUUUUCUAGGAGUUGAGAGUAAGAGUUGAGAGAAUAGAAACUUUGGGGCAGGUGUCUCAUGUGAUUAGAUAAUAGAUACUAUAAGUGAGAAAAUAUGUUAAAUAUGUUGGUUUUGUAUUAUAAACAGAAUUUCUUUGCCAUCUCUGAGAGCCUACUGUCAAGAUUUAAUUUAAUAUUUCAUUAAUUUCCUCUCUGUUGAUGCCAUUUCCUUUUGUAUACAGGUCAACAGACAACCAUAAAUUAUUUGUGCUCAGUGAUGAUGGGUAUAAGGGUAAUGAUAACCAGAACAAUGAUAAUGCCUGGCCAUUUCUAAAUACCAUGAAUUCCAUUGGAAAUACCUAUAAAUAUUUUAUAAGCUGUAU